rnacentral:rRNA from 1 species
ACUCAAAGGAAUUGACGGGGGCCCGCACAAGCGGUGGAGCAUGUGGUUCAAUUCGACGCAACGCGAAGAACCUUACCAGCCCUUGACAUGUCCCGUAGGGGGCCGAGAGAUCGGCCUCGUCAGUUCGGCUGGCGGGAACACAGGUGCUGCAUGGCUGUCGUCAGCUCGUGUCGUGAGAUGUUGGGUUAAGUCCCGCAACGAGCGCAACCCUCACCUUCAGUUGCCAUCGGGUUAAGCCGGGCACUCUGAAGGAACUGCCGGUGACAAGCCGGAGGAAGGCGGGGAUGACGUCAAGUCCUCAUGGCCUUUAUGGGCUGGGCUACACACGUGCUACAAUGGCGGUGACAGAGGGAGGCAAGGGAGCGAUCCUGCGCCAAUCUCGAAAAGCCGUCUCAGUUCGGAUUGUUCUCUGCAACUCGAGAGCAUGAAGCUGGAAUCGCUAGUAAUCGCGGAUCAGCACGCCGCGGUGAAUACGUUCCCGGGCCUUGUACACACCGCCCGU